rnacentral:rRNA from 1 species
AUUGAACGCUGGCGGCAUGCCUAACACAUGCAAGUCGAACGGUAACGCGAGGAGCUUGCUCCUUGGCGACGAGUGGCGGACGGGUGAGUAAUGCUUAGGAAUCUGCCCUGUAGUGGGGGACAACCCGGGGAAACUCGGGCUAAUACCGCAUACGCUCUACGGAGGAAAGCGGGGGAUCUUCGGACCUCGCGCUAUAGGAUGAGCCUAAGUCGGAUUAGCUUGUUGGUGAGGUAACGGCUCACCAAGGCAACGAUCCGUAGCUGGUCUGAGAGGACGAUCAGCCACACUGGGACUGAGACACGGCCCAGACUCCUACGGGAGGCAGCAGUGGGGAAUAUUGGACAAUGGGGGCAACCCUGAUCCAGCAAUGCCGCGUGUGUGAAGAAGGCCUGCGGGUUGUAAAGCACUUUCAGUAGAGAAGAAAAGCUUACGGUUAAUACCUGUGAGUCUUGACGUAACCUACAGAAGAAGCACCGGCUAACUCCGUG